CUUGACCAUGGGAUACGAAAACCCAUGAGGUGGGUUUUUGUAGGUUUUUGUUUUUAGCAAAUUAGGGUUGUGUGCUGUGCUUGAAGGGCAAGAUUGUUGCGGAGCUGCUCGACUAGAAGUAUAUAUAUAUAUAUAUAUAUAUAUAAAUCUAUAUAUAUGUAUUGUGCAGCGCUAUUGCGGUUGAAAUUCUGUAAUUCCUUUGAAAAUGGCAAUAGACUGUAUGUUUCUGUGCUUUCGAUUACCUUCUUCGGCACCAUGACAGGUUUAGGGUUGGGCGUUGUUCGAGGUGAACUUGUUUGAAUUAGGGUUCCUUGAAGAUAUUCUGUGGGAGAGCUGAUGAAUCCAUCCAGAGGCUACUGUUACAUUCCUUUCUGUGUUUACAACGUCCAAGACGUAAUGUAGAAGGAUUCGAGAUUGAGGCUUGUUGCUCAUGUGGACAUGGUUUCAGCAUCAGUAGCUCCUUGAAAUAUGUGCAUAUAUCAAAUGUGGUGUAGAGUUAUAGCAUCCUCUACCUCUGAGGUCCUGUACAACUUAAGGGAGUGUGCAUUUAGUGUUGCUUCUCUGCUAAGUUCACCAAAAUAGCACUCAGAUUUCGCUAUUGUUUACCCGCAUGAAAGUUCCGAUUUCACAGGUUAGGGGUCUGAAAGCGAAGAAGUUUUUCAAACCGUCUUAGCCCACAAAACGAAUUGUUGUGAUUGUUUGAGAUCGUGUAUUCAUAUGGCAGCCUUGCAAGCUGUCACAGAUCUCUCUGUCACGAUUCGUUUUGUGAGCUAAGAAGGUUUGAAGAAGAGUAUUCUCCAUGUUGUGGUUCGCCACACUCUCGGUCUAAUUUAGAUUGUUUUACGACAUAUUCAACUUGAAUAUUACAUCUACAAUGGAGUAUUUGGCAUUUGCGAUGCUUCAAGAAUGAGGUCAUCCAAUGUACGUGUUGUAGAUGCAGAAUCGAAAUCACUUUCCAAUUCAGAUCUCAAAGAAAAUGAUGUUGAGCGUCAUGACAGUUCCAACAUCAUGCUACAAUGGACGUCUGACUGUCACAAUAAAUGUCUAGACUGCUUCAACUGCUGGUUGUGGAUAUUGUAAAACAAAAUUGGGAUCUUUGCUUCAAUCUGGGGUUGGAGGGGAUAUGCUUCAAUGCAAGAGGUUGUGAGUUUCAAUGGCGUACUUAGAUUACUGUUUAAAGCUAGGAAGGAGGAUGGAUACCCAUUAGAGGUUAGACCAAAGAUCCCUCACAUUUUCUUACUUGGUGUGUUCUUAUUUCAUUUUUGUAAAAAAUUCAGUGAUACCUGCCAUUGUGAGCAGUUUCUUAAUUUCGGAAGAAGGGAGGAUCCUUGGAUUAUAUU